rnacentral:SRP_RNA from 1 species
UGUCAGGUCCGGUGCAACUUUAACCCUCGAACCAUGUCAGGUCAGGAAUGAAGCAGCAUUAAGGGGUGUUUAGAGUGUGCAACCGGUCGCCUGGCACUU